CGGCCGCGGGGAGCUCAGGGAGCGCUCGCGCGGCGCGCUCAGGGCUUUGGAGCGCCAAAGGCCCGGCGUUCUCAAGCUGAUCCCGUUACUGCUGGAUAGUGUCUAAAUCCUCAGCACAGGCGCAAGGCAGGCCCGCUGCUGCUCAGCUGGAAAGGCUGUUCGGCUGCUUGCUGAGCAGAGGAGAAACUGAAGUACAGCUAUUAACGUACUUCAGAAAUUGUAUUGUGGCACUAAUCCCGGGUGGAUUAGGAUGUGCAGGAAGA